rnacentral:rRNA from 1 species
UGUGAGCUCGAUGAGUAGGGCGGGACACGUGGUAUCCUGUCUGAAUAUGGGGGGACCAUCCUCCAAGGCUAAAUACUCCUGACUGACCGAUAGUGAACCAGUACCGUGAGGGAAAGGCGAAAAGAACCCCGGCGAGGGGAGUGAAAAAGAACCUGAAACCGUGUACGUACAAGCAGUGGGAGCACGCUUAGGCGUGUGACUGCGUACCUUUUGUAUAAUGGGUCAGCGACUUAUAUUCUGUAGCAAGGUUAACCGAAUAGGGGAGCCGAAGGGAAACCGAGUCUUAACUGGGCGUUAAGUUGCAGGGUAUAGACCCGAAACCCGGUGAUCUAGCCAUGGGCAGGUUGAAGGUUGGGUAACACUAACUGGAGGACCGAACCGACUAAUGUUGAAAAAUUAGCGGAUGACUUGUGGCUGGGGGUGAAAGGCCAAUCAAACCGGGAGAUAGCUGGUUCUCCCCGAAAGCUAUUUAGGUAGCGCCUCGUGAAUUCAUCUCCGGGGGUAGAGCACUGUUUCGGCAAGGGGGUCAUCCCGACUUACCAACCCGAUGCAAACUGCGAAUACCGGAGAAUGUUAUCACGGGAGACACACGGCGGGUGCUAACGUCCGUCGUGAAGAGGGAAACAACCCAGACCGCCAGCUAAGGUCCCAAAGUCAUGGUUAAGUGGGAAACGAUGUGGGAAGGCCCAGACAGCCAGGAUGUUGGCUUAGAAGCAGCCAUCAUUUAAAGAAAGCGUAAUAGCUCACUGGUCGAGUCGGCCUGCGCGGAAGAUGUAACGGGGCUAAACCAUGCACCGAAGCUGCGGCAGCGACGCUGAUGCGUUGUUGGGUAGGGGAGCGUUCUGUAAGCCUGUGAAGGUGUGCUGUGAGGCAUGCUGGAGGUAUCAGAAGUGCGAAUGCUGACAUAAGUAACGAUAAAGCGGGUGAAAAGCCCGCUCGCCGGAAGACCAAGGGUUCCUGUCCAACGUUAAUCGGGGCAGGGUGAGUCGACCCCUAAGGCGAGGCCGAAAGGCGUAGUCGAUGGGAAACAGGUUAAUAUUCCUGUACUUGGUGUUACUGCGAAGGGGGGACGGAGAAGGCUAUGUUGGCCGGGCGACGGUUGUCCCGGUUUAAGCGUGUAGGCUGGUUUUCCAGGCAAAUCCGGAAAAUCAAGGCUGAGGCGUGAUGACGAGGCACUACGGUGCUGAAGCAACAAAUGCCCUGCUUCCAGGAAAAGCCUCUAAGCAUCAGGUAACAUCAAAUCGUACCCCAAACCGACACAGGUGGUCAGGUAGAGAAUACCAAGGCGCUUGAGAGAACUCGGGUGAAGGAACUAGGCAAAAUGGUGCCGUAACUUCGGGAGAAGGCACGCUGAUAUGUAGGUGAAGCGACUUGCUCGUGGAGCUGAAAUCAGUCGAAGAUACCAGCUGGCUGCAACUGUUUAUUAAAAACACAGCACUGUGCAAACACGAAAGUGGACGUAUACGGUGUGACGCCUGCCCGGUGCCGGAAGGUUAAUUGAUGGGGUCAGCGCAAGCGAAGCUCUUGAUCGAAGCCCCGGUAAACGGCGGCCGUAACUAUAACGGUCCUAAGGUAGCGAAAUUCCUUGUCGGGUAAGUUCCGACCUGCACGAAUGGCGUAAUGAUGGCCAGGCUGUCUCCACCCGAGACUCAGUGAAAUUGAACUCGCUGUGAAGAUGCAGUGUACCCGCGGCAAGACGGAAAGACCCCGUGAACCUUUACUAUAGCUUGACACUGAACAUUGAGCCUUGAUGUGUAGGAUAGGUGGGAGGCUUAGAAGUGUGGACGCCAGUCUGCAUGGAGCCGACCUUGAAAUACCACCCUUUAAUGUUUGAUGUUCUAACGUUGACCCGUAAUCCGGGUUGCGGACAGUGUCUGGUGGGUAGUUUGACUGGGGCGGUCUCCUCCUAAAGAGUAACGGAGGAGCACGAAGGUUGGCUAAUCCUGGUCGGACAUCAGGAGGUUAGUGCAAUGGCAUAAGCCAGCUUGACUGCGAGCGUGACGGCGCGAGCAGGUGCGAAAGCAGGUCAUAGUGAUCCGGUGGUUCUGAAUGGAAGGGCCAUCGCUCAACGGAUAAAAGGUACUCCGGGGAUAACAGGCUGAUACCGCCCAAGAGUUCAUAUCGACGGCGGUGUUUGGCACCUCGAUGUCGGCUCAUCACAUCCUGGGGCUGAAGUAGGUCCCAAGGGUAUGGCUGUUCGCCAUUUAAAGUGGUACGCGAGCUGGGUUUAGAACGUCGUGAGACAGUUCGGUCCCUAUCUGCCGUGGGCGCUGGAGAACUGAGGGGGGCUGCUCCUAGUACGAGAGGACCGGAGUGGACGCAUCACUGGUGUUCGGGUUGUCAUGCCAAUGGCACUGCCCGGUAGCUAAAUGCGGAAGAGAUAAGUGCUGAAAGCAUCUAAGCACGAAACUUGCCCCGAGAUGAGUUCUCCCUGACCCUUUAAGGGUCCUGAAGGAACGUUGAAGACGACGACGUUGAUAGGCCGGGUGUGUAAGCGCAGCGAUGCGUUGAGCUAACCGGUACUAAUGAACCGUGAGGCUUAACCUU